AACGAACGCUGGCGGCAUGCCUAACACAUGCAAGUCGAACGAGACCUUCGGGUCUAGUGGCGCACGGGUGCGUAACGCGUGGGAACCUGCCUUUAGGUUCGGAAUAACUCAGAGAAAUUUGAGCCUAAUACCGGAUGAUGUCUUCGGACCAAAGAUUUAUCGCCUUUAGAUGGGCCCGCGUAAGAUUAGCUAGUUGGUGGGGUAAAGGCCUACCAAGGCGACGAUCUUUAGCUGGUCUGAGAGGAUGAUCAGCCACACUGGGACUGAGACACGGCCCAGACUCCUACGGGAGGCAGCAGUGGGAAUAUUGGACAAUGGGCGAAAGCCUGAUCCAGCAAUGCCGCGUGAGUGAUGAAGGCCUUAGGGUUGUAAAGCUCUUUUACCCGAGAUGAUAAUGACAGUAUCGGGAGAAUAAGCUCCGGCUAACUCCGUGCCAGCAGCCGCGGUAAUGUGACUACUG
rnacentral:rRNA from 1 species